rnacentral:rRNA from 1 species
UACGUAGGGUGCAAGCGUUGUCCGGAAUUAUUGGGCGUAAAGAGCUCGUAGGCGGUCUGUCGCGUCUGCUGUGAAAACUCAGGGCUUAACCCUGAGCUUGCAGUGGGUACGGGCAGACUAGAGUGCGGUAGGGGAGACUGGAAUUCCUGGUGUAGCGGUGAAAUGCGCAGAUAUCAGGAGGGAACACCGGUGGGCGAAGGCGGGUCUCUGGGCCGUAACUGACGCUGGAGGAAGCGAAAGCGUGGGGAGCAAACAGG